rnacentral:rRNA from 1 species
UACGUAGGAGGCGAGCGUUGUCCGGAGUUACUGGGCGUAAAGGGUGCGCAGGCGGCGGUUCGCGUGGCGAGAUGAAAUCUCCUGGCUUACCUGGGAGGAUGGUCGCCAGACGGGAUCGCUUGAGGGUCGGAGAGGGGCGUGGAAUUCCGGGUGGAGCGGUGAAAUGCGUAGAUAUCUGGAGGAAUACCGGUGGCGAAGGCGGCAUCCUGGACCGAGAUUGACGCUGAACGGCGAAAGCUAGGGGAGCAAACGGG